CUUUCCUUCUCAAGUAAAGCCUGGCUCAGAGAAAACCACUGGUCUCUUUCCUUUUCUUCCUCCUGACAUGAACAUGGGGCAGGAAGGAGCAUGGAGAAGACAAGAACAAGGCUCUCAGAAGGAAAUGGUGUGGCUGGAGCCAUGAGAACUGGUUGUGGAGGGGGCAAAUAUAAUUUCUGACCUACGUAAUGAUGUAUGCACAAGAAGCCUCUCUUGAAUGUAUUAAUUCAGUAAACAGUUAUGGAGUCCUUACAAUGUGCUAGUGGGACUUUGAAGAUGAAUCCAAAUUUGGAUCCUGGCCUGGAAAGGCUCAAAGCCCAAUAUGGGAGAUUCUAGCAAGACCUUGUUUAUGUUGGAAACUGUUAGCAGACGCCGAAGCUGUCCGGGGCUGAGUGAGUACCACGUUACUCAGGCUUCACUGCGCUGAAGGAAGAGGUUGAGAUGAGGGCAGUCACUCACCUGUGAUGAAGACCCACUCUGCAGCUUCAUUUCCUGUCAUUACAGACAGUGCCUGGGCCCAAUCAGGAGGGGCUUAUGGGGAAUGGGGGGCAGGUGGCACUGGGGUGUCUAGGGAGAGCAAAUACAAAUUGGAUACCACCUAGAGGUCGCGAAAUGGAGAAUAAGUUUCUAAGAACAGCUAAAAAAUGAAAGAGACAUGACAACCAAAUGCAACAUGUGACCCUUGAUAGGCCCUUAGACUUUUUUUAAAAAAAAGCUAUAAAGAACAUUAUUGGGACCACUGUGUCAAUUUGAAUAUGA
rnacentral:lncRNA from 1 species